rnacentral:miRNA from 8 species
CUGGUUUCAGGUGGUGGAUAG